UACGGAGGGUGCAAGCGUUAUCCGGAUUCACUGGGUUUAAAGGGUGCGUAGGCGGCUUAUUAAGUCAGUGGUGAAAGCCCGUAGCUUAACUACGGAACUGCCAUUGAUACUGAUGAGCUUGAAUAUACUUGAGGUUGGCGGAAUGUGUCAUGUAGCGGUGAAAUGCUUAGAUAUGACACAGAACACCGAUUGCGAAGGCAGCUAGCUAAAGUACAAUUGACGCUGAUGCACGAAAGCGUGGGGAGCAAACAGG
rnacentral:rRNA from 1 species